rnacentral:lncRNA from 1 species
AUGAGCACAAACAGAAUUCUCAUCCCUACGUGGCUGUCGCAGGAAGGACGCAGGGCCUACUGAUACGUGCCACUUCUGCAAGAUCGUCCUAUAAUUUGCUGAGCACUGAGCUAAUCACUAGUAUGAUGGGAGAGAACAGACUUUUCCCACUCUUAAGGAACUAAUGAAGGAUACAUGCACAAGACGAUGUGUGUCGACAUAACAUGACAAGGUGAGGAAAUAUCACUGUAUAGCGUUCUUUGAAAAGCUUUGAACUUUGUCACUUGAAUCUUAGGGAAAAGAGAGGAGGAACAGGUACAGACCAUGACUGCAAUGUUUU